rnacentral:rRNA from 1 species
GAAUUUCGGUUAUCGAUGGGGAUGCGUUCCAUUAGUUUGUUGGCGGGGUAACGGCCCACCAAGACUACGAUGGAUAGGGGUUCUGAGAGGAAGGUCCCCCACAUUGGAACUGAGACACGGUCCAAACUCCUACGGGAGGCAGCAGUGAGGAAUAUUGGUCAAUGGGCGAGAGCCUGAACCAGCCAAGUAGCGUGAAGGAUGAAGGCUCUAUGGGUCGUAAACUUCUUUUAUAUGGGAAUAAAGUUUUCCACGUGUGGAAUUUUGUAUGUACCAUAUGAAUAAGGAUCGGCUAACUCCGUGCCAGCAGCCGCGGUAAUACGGAGGAUCCGAGCGUUAUCCGGAUUUAUUGGGUUUAAAGGGAGCGUAGGUGGAUUGUUAAGUCAGUUGUGAAAGUUUGCGGCUCAACCGUAAAAUUGCAGUUGAAACUGGCAGUCUUGAGUACAGUAGAGGUGGGCGGAAUUCGUGGUGUAGCGGUGAAAUGCUUAGAUAUCACGAAGAACUCCGAUUGCGAAGGCAGCUCACUAGACUGUCACUGACACUGAUGCUCGAAAGUGUGGGUAUCAAACAGGAUUAGAUACCCUGGUAGUCCACACAGUAAACGAUGAAUACUCGCUGUUUGCGAUAUACAGCAAGCGGCCAAGCGAAAGCAUUAAGUAUUCCACCUGGGGAGUACGCCGGCAACGGUGAAACUCAAAGGAAUUGACGGGGGCCCGCACAAGCGGAGGAACAUGUGGUUUAAUUCGAUGAUACGCGAGGAACCUUACCCGGGCUUAAAUUGCAACAGAAUAUAUUGGAAACAGUAUAGCCGUAAGGCUGUUGUGAAGGUGCUGCAUGGUUGUCGUCAGCUCGUGCCGUGAGGUGUCGGCUUAAGUGCCAUAACGAGCGCAACCCUUAUCUUUAGUUACUAACAGGUCAUGCUGAGGACUCUAGAGAGACUGCCGUCGUAAGAUGUGAGGAAGGUGGGGAUGACGUCAAAUCAGCACGGCCCUUACGUCCGGGGCUACACACGUGUUACAAUGGGGGGUACAGAAGGCGGCUACCUGGUGACAGGA